UGCAGUCGAACGGUUGGUAGCAAUACCAAUAGUGGCGCACGGGUGCGUAACGCGUAACCAACCUACCCGAAUCUGGGGGAUAGCCCGCCGAAAGGCGGAUUAAUACCGCAUAAAACUGCAGCCUGGCAUCAGGUAACAGUUAAAGAUUUAUUGGAUUCGGAUGGGGUUGCGUGCCAUUAGCUAGUUGGCGGGGUAACGGCCCACCAAGGCGACGAUGGCUAGGGGAGCUGAGAGGCUGGUCCCCCACACGGGCACUGAGAUACGGGCCCGACUCCUACGGGAGGCAGCAGUAGGGAAUAUUGGGCAAUGGUCGAGAGACUGACCCAGCCAUGCCGCGUGCAGGAUGAAGGCUUUCUGAGUCGUAAACUGCUUUUAUCAGGGAAAAAAAAAGGGGAUGCGUCCUCUACUGACGGUACCUGGUGAAUAAGCACCGGCUAACUCCGUGCCAGCAGCCGCGGUAAUACGGAGGGUGCAAGCGUUGGCCGGAUUUAUUGGGUUUAAAGGGUGCGUAGGCGGCUGAUUAAGUCUGGGGUGAAAGCCCGUUGCUCAACAACGGAACUGCCCUGGAAACUGGUUAGCUUGAGUACAGACGAGGGUGGCGGAAUGGAUACUGUAGCGGUGAAAUGCAUAGAUAGUAUCCAGAACCCCGAUUGCGAAGGC
rnacentral:rRNA from 1 species